rnacentral:tRNA from 1 species
GGAGAGAUGGCCGAGUGGGUUAAGGCGUAGCAUUGGAAUUGCUAUGUAGGAUUUUGUUUACCGAGGGUUCGAAUCCUUCUCUUUUCG